rnacentral:rRNA from 1 species
GGGCCUAUCAGCUUGUUGGUGGGGUAAUGGCCUACCAAGGCGGCGACGGGUAGCCGGCCUGAGAGGGUGGACGGCCACAUUGGGACUGAGAUACGGCCCAGACUCCUACGGGAGGCAGCAGUGGGGAAUAUUGCACAAUGGGCGCAAGCCUGAUGCAGCGACGCCGCGUGGGGGAUGACGGCCUUCGGGUUGUAAACUCCUUUCGCUAGGGACGAAGCUUUUUGUGACGGUACCUAGAUAAGAAGCACCGGCUAAAUACGUGCCAGCAGCCGCGGUAAUACGUAGGGUGCGAGCGUUGUCCGGAAUUACUGGGCGUAAAGGGCUUGUAGGUGGUUUGUCGCGUUGUCUGUGAAAUUCCGGGGCUUAACUCCGGGCGUGCAGGCGAUACGGGCAUAACUUGAGUACUGUAGGGGUAACUGGAAUUCCUGGUGUAGCGGUGAAAUGCGCAGAUAUCAGGAGGAACACCGAUGGCGAAGGCAGGUU